GGUGGCUCAGUGAUAGAGCACUUGCCUUGCAUGCAUGAGGCCCUGGGUUCGAUUCCUCAGUACCA
rfam:Dipodomys ordii contig_61773, whole genome shotgun sequence.